GAAUGGAAUGCUUUUAUUCGCAAAUGUUAGAAUCUCGUUAUCCUUCAGAUGAUUUCACCUGCUUUGCGUCUCUUAGACUGAACGGCGAUGCAGGCAGAGCGGGUUUGUUUGUUAUCGACAGCGUUGCCAGAUUGGGUAAAUUUCCCGCCCGAUGAUAAUUUUCCCAGCCUAAAGCUGUUAAAAGUAGCCCAAUUGGGUCGGGAAUCUGCCAAAUCUGGCAACACCGCUCACCAGCCAGGGUACCUGCUGAUUGGUUCAUAGGGCAGCGCGACUAGAUUUUUGCGCGAAUCAGACGCCUGUAAGGUCACACCCACUCAGAGGAGGACUUUCCUCCUCUCUCCCAUUGAAACCCAUGUUAUUCACCGGCCGCCAGUACUUUCUUGGAAAUGAAUGGGAGUCAACGGAGGCUGAGGGAGCACCUUCCUCCCUGAAGUAAUUGUCAAAAGGCGAUAGGGGGUGCUAAUUAGAGGUCGACCGAUAUAUCGAUCGGCCGAUGUAUCGGGCCGAUAUUUGUCAUUUUUUAAUCUAUCGGCAUCGGCCGAUAUCUGUGUUUAGUAGCGCCGAUUUAUAGUCAGGCAUGUCCGCGGGCAGCCCCGUGUCAUUGGUACCGGCAGAACGCAUGUGAAGGACCCCAACCCAAAACUUGUAAUCCUGGGAGAUAAGUCAUUGACUGGAUUAUGAAGACCAUCACAACAGGAAGCAAGACCGGCAUACAGUGGACCCUCUGGAAACAACUUGAAGACCUCGACUUCGCUGAUGACCUGGCUAGUCUGUCCCAUAAUCACAAGCAGAUGCAAGACAAGACUACAAAACUGGCAACAACAUCCCUUGGAACAGGCCUCAGGAUAAACAAGGAGAAGACUAAACUGAUGAGGAUUAACACCCCUACCACCAACCCUGUCAAUAUAGAUGACAGACCCAUUCAGGAAGUUGACUCCUUCACCUACCUUGGUAGCACCAUAGACCAUCAGGGGGGCACAGACACCGAUGUCUUGGCCAGGGUAGGCAAAGCCAGAGUAGCUUUCAUUAUCCUGAAGAACAUCUGGGCCUCCAAAGAAAUAGCAACAUCAACUAAAGUGCGCAUCUUCAACACUAAUGUCAAAAGCAUCCUUCUCUAUGGUUCAGAGACGUGGAGAAUGACGAAGAAGACGUUACAGAUGAUCCAGACCUUUAUAAACACCUCUCUGAGACGCAUCUUUAAAAUCCGGUGGCCAGAAAAAAACAACAACAAAGAGCUGUGGGAGAGAGGAAGCCAGGAGCCAGUAGCAGAACAGAUCCUGAGAUGAAAAUGGGGAUGGAUAGGCCACACACCGAGAAAACCCGCAGAUAGCAUCACACGGCAGGCCCUGACCUGGAACCCCCAGGGGAAGCGGAAGAGAGGCCGCCCCAGGAACACCUGGAGACGGGACACAGAGGCGGAGCUGAAGAGGCUUGGAUCCAGCUGGGUGGAGGCGGAGAAGAGAGCCCAGAGCCGUGCUGGGUGGAGAGUCGUCGUCGAUGGCCUAUGCUCCAGGCCGGAGGAACGGGCAUAAAGAAAGAAAGAAGAAUUUAAAAGCCAGGUGUUCAAAAGAUGGAGCAGCAGGGAUGGUGAGAGGGCGAGGUUGGAGGUCUUGUUGGUAGAUGGCAGCAAUGCCCCCUCCUCUGAUCUCAGAGCGUGGGUUGUCCAGGUAGGAAAAUCUAGCAGAGGUGGUUUGGUUUAGUGAAAAAUAAUCCAGGGGUUUUUGCCAUGUUUCAUUAAGGCACAGGAGGUCAAGUUGUUGGUCGAUGAUGAAUUAAUUGAUAAUGAGACUUUUAUUGUUGAGGGAUCUUGUGUUGAAGAGGGCGACUUUUACGUGCUUUUGUUUUGAAAUUGAUGGGGCGGAAGUAGGAAUUGGACGGAGGUUGAAGGUGUUCACUCUGGUUGCGUUCUGAUGACGUGUGUUGUUGUGAUGACACGGAGAGGAAGUGCGGGAGCCGGUGGGUGAGCUGUGGUCAGACCACAGCGCUGGGAUGAAGUUUUUAGCGGUGGAACUGUACAUAAACAUGCGGCUGGACCCUCGACGAAUGUAACGGGGACAGAGGAGAAGUCGAGAAUUUUUUAGAGUCGUGAUGAGUUCUAGGGAUGUCCCGAUCCGAUAUUGAUAUCGGAAAUCAGUCCGAUAUCAGCCAAAAAAGUGAAUAUCGGAUUUUAUCGGACUGAAUCUAAAAACUCUGAUAUAAGUGCUCCGAUAUAAGCUGUCCAUUUACCGCUCCAGGACUUCUAUAAUAGGUGACUCUGGUUUGAUCACACUCCAACACAGUAGGUGGUAAUGCCCCUUAAUUAACGUUGGUGCCGGCCGCGGAAGAAGAGCGUCUCUGAUCCAGCAUGCACAGCCCACGUGAUCACAACAACGACAACGUGUGUGCCUGCAGCAAGGUGUAGUGAUGUCGGCUGUGUGGAAGUAUUUUACCGUAAACUCGGACAAAGACGUUGCAGCUAAAUGCAACAUUUGUCAGGCGCAAGUGUCCCGUGGAGGGACAGAACCGGGAAGGUUCAAUACAAGUAACCUCAUCGCACAUUUGAAAAAACACCACAAAAAAGAACAUGAGGAUUUUCGCGAGAGCAGCAAGGCAAAGCAACAAGCCUCUGGCUCGCUUCAGCAACCCACGCUGGCCGAAAGCUUUGCAAGACGUGACAAACUACCACGGGACAGCAAAAAGGCAAUGGCCAUAACAGAAAAGAUGGCCCAGUUUAUUGUGCUUGAUGACCAGCCCCUGUCGGUGGUGAGUAAUGUCGGGUUUAAACGCUUAAUGGAGCACCUCGAACCUCGCUACAUUAUUCCUAGCCGCCACUACAUUGUAGACAAAACUAUACCCCGGAUGCACGAAUAGGUUAAAAAGUGUAUUGCCGCACACUUGGAGAAGGCAAAUGCUAUAAGCUUCACCACCGACAUCUGGAGCUCAGACCAUCGUCCGCUGUCUCUGUUGAGCCUGACUGCGCACUGGGUGGACACUGACUUCACACUGCAGAGAGCAGUGUUACAUGCACGUGAAUUCAGGGGAUCGCACACAGCUGAUGCAAUCACGCACGCCAUGGAGGAGAUGCUGCAUGACUGGAAGAUUGAGAAAAAUAAGGUCCAUG